AACGAACGCUGGCGGCAUGCCUAACACAUGCAAGUCGAACGAGACCUUCGGGUCUGGUGGCGCAUGGGUGCGUAACGCGUGGGAACCUGCCCUUAGGUUCGGAAUAACUCUUCGAAAGGGGUGCUAAUACCGGAUAAUGUCUUCGGACCAAAGAUUUAUCGCCUUUGGAUGGGCCCGCGUUGGAUUAGCUAGGUGGUAGGGUAAGAGCCUACCAAGGCGUCGAUCCAUAGCUGGGCUGAGAGGAUGAUCAGCCACACUGGGACUGAGACACGGCCGAGACUCCUACAGGAGGCAGCAGUGGGGAAUAUUGGACAAUGGGCGGAAGCCUGAACCAGCAAUGCCGCGUGAGUGAUGUAGGCCUUAGGGUUGUAAAGCUCUUUUACCCGGGAUGAUAAUGACGGUACCGGGAGAAUAAGCACCGGCUAACUCCGUG
rnacentral:rRNA from 1 species